UCCGUAGGUGAACCUGCGGAAGGAUCAUUAAUAGUGCCCUCUGAUGCAAAUCAUUGGGUUAGAUCUGCUCUCUUCGCAAGAAGAGGGUUUCCAUACACACCGUGAACUGUGGCUUCGGCCAUCACAAACUGUUAGUAAUGAAUGUGAUAUCAUAACAAAAACAAAACUUUUAACAACGGAUCUCUUGGCUCUCACAUCGAUGAAGAACGCAGCGAAAUGCGAUAAGUAAUGUGAAUUGCAGAAUUCAGUGAAUCAUCGAAUCUUUGAACGCACCUUGCGCCCUUUGGUAUUCCGAAGGGCAUGCCUGUUUGAGUGUCAUGAAACCUCACCCCACUUGGGUUUUUGCCUGAGCGGUGGUGUAUUGGGUGUUGCCUUGCUAAAGGCUCGCCUUAAAGACAUAAGCACCUUGGAUGUAAUACGUUUCAUCCUUCUGGGUGGCUGAUAACCCCACAUAUUCAUGAUCUGGCCUCAAAUCAGGUAGGGCUACCCGCUGAACUUAAGCAUAUCAAUAAGCGGAGGAAAAGAAACUAACUAGGAUUCCCUUAGUAACGGCGAGUGAACCGGGAUGAGCUCAAAUUUAAAAUCUGGCGUCUUUCAGGCGUCCGAGUUGUAAUCUAUAGAGGCGUUUUCCGCGCCGGACCGCGUCCAAGUCUCUUGGAAUAGAGUAUCAAAGAGGGUGACAAUCCCGUACUUGACGCGACAACCGGUGCUCUGUGAUACGUUCUCAAUGAGUCGAGUUGUUUGGGAAUGCAGCUCUAAAUGGGUGGUAAAUUCCAUCUAAGGCUAAAUAUUGGCGAGAGACCGAUAGCGAACAAGUACCGUGAGGGAAAGAUGAAAAGCACUUUGGAAAGAGAGUUAAACAGCACGUGAAAUUGUUAAAAGGGAAACGCUUGAAGU
rnacentral:sRNA from 1 species